GACGAACGCUGGCGGCGUGCUUAACACAUGCAAGUCGUACGGUAAGGUCCUUUCGGUGGUACACGAGUGGCGAACGGGUGAGUAACACGUGAGUAACCUUCCCACAACUUUGGGAUAACGCUAGGAAACUGGUGCUAAUACUGGUUAUGUGCUCCUUCUGCAUGGUGGGGGUUGGAAAGCUCCGGCGGUUGUGGGUGGACUCGCUGCCUAUCAGCUUGUUGGUGGGGUAGUGGCGUACCAAGACGGCGACGGGUAGCCGGCCUGAGAGGGUGACCGGCCACACUGGGACCGAGAGACGGCACAGACUGCUAAGGGAGGCAGCAGUGGGGAAUAUUGCACAAGGGGCGCAAGCCGGAUGAAGCAACGCUGCGGGCGGGAUGACGGCCUUCGUGUUGUAAACCGCUUUUAGCAGGGACGAAGCUUUUUGUGACGGUACCUGCAGAAGAAGCACCGGCUAACUACGUG
rnacentral:rRNA from 1 species